rnacentral:tRNA from 1 species
UUGGGCUAUCGCCAAGCGGUAAGGCAACGGACUUUGACUCCGUCAUUCGUUGGUUCGAAUCCAGCUAGCCCAGU